AAGUGGCAAACAGACAGUGAUUAUAGACUAUUAAUUUUUAAGAAGCUAAUAAUUUAACGAUGUCUCAAAAUUCUGUAAUAUUUCCCUUAUGUUGUGUUUUAUUAUUCUGUGUACUUUCAAUAAAUUCGCAACCAGGGCUGGAUUGUUUAACGGGAUGUCAUCCAAUACCAUCCGAUGGGAUAAUCUCGACUUGCAGUAAUGGACUACCAGCAAUCCAAGACGGAUCAUGUGAAUGUUGUCCUCCUGAUCCUUCAACUGGACUUCCUCUUUCUGCAAAUUCUCGUUAUAAUCCUCCUUUCUAACGGUAUCUUCCUCCUCCCAAUGGUGAUAGUAAGCUAAUAAAUGAUUAAAAAUACGAAAUAUAAUUAAUCACUUACAAUUUAUUUGAUUCAAUUUUAUAAUGAAUCUCUAUCGCUUGAAUCUCCAUUAGUUAACGAAUUUCCUCUCCGUGUAUUGAUUACGAUUACAAACAUAUUUUUAAAAUCAUUAAAUUUACUAUGUUAUGUUAUUAUACUGUACGACUAAAUAUAAUGAUCAUAAAAUUUAGUAUAUUUCGUUUGUAUAUGAUUAGACGAAUGUAUUUAUUUUUAUGAUUGAUUUAAAAUUAUAAUUUUCACCGUUUUGUUAAAAAUAUAUCAAUAUAUAUAAACAUAUUUAAAUAUAUAUAAUUUUCUUUGGUAA